GUAGGUGGCAAGCGUUGUCCGGAAUUAUUGGGCGUAAAGCGCGCGCAGGCGGUCCUUUAAGUCUGAUGUGAAAGCCCACGGCUCAACCGUGGAGGGUCAUUGGAAACUGGGGGACUUGAGUACAGAAGAGGAAAGCGGAACUCCAAGUGUAGCGGUGAAAUGCGUAGAGAUUUGGAGGAACACCAGUGGCGAAGGCGGCUUUCUGGUCUGUAACUGACGCUGAGGCGCGAAAGCGUGGGGAGCAAACAGGGAUUAGAUACCCUGGUAGUCCACGCCGUAAACGAUGAGUGCUAAGUGUUAGGGGGUUUCCCGCCCCUUAGUGCUGCAGCUAACGCAUUAAGCACUCCGCCUGGGGAGUACGGCCGCAAGGCUG
rnacentral:rRNA from 1 species